CUCUCUCUCUCUCUCCUGCUACCUCGUUCUUUUCUUUUCUUCCUUUUCAUUUUUGCAGUGACUUUUCCUCUUUUUUUUGAACCAUCAAUUAUAAAUCUGAAACUUUAGAUUAUUCUUUAUCAAUUUUCAAAAAUUCUCUUCAUUUUCCAUACCAUAACAACAAUGAACUCAUCGGCAAUAUUUAGCUCUUCCCCUAUUACUGAUGCCUUCGUUUUCUAAUCAAAGUAUCAUGUAAGAAAUCAAAGAAUCAAUCUUCUCUGUUAUUUAUGCACUCGUUUGGAGUUCACCGCGUCUGUCACCGCUGAAACUACUUCAAUGUUUAGGCGGUGUUCCUUCUCCUUAAGAUGAGUUAAGACACAAUCCUCCUGAAGUUCUUUCCCGCGAGAAACAUAAUCGGUGAAAUUUUCCGAGUAGUAACCAAAGGAGAGCCGAUUGAGCGAGUUUUUAAAGUUAGUUUUCGGUCUGGAUAACAACAAUGUUAGCCAACAUUUUCUAAGUUACCAUAUAUUAAUUAUGUUUUAGGAGAAUCUCAAUUUUAUAUUAUUGUUUGGAUAUAUGCUUUGUUAUCAGUUACAAACAAAUUACUUUUAACUGAUAAAUAUUUAUAAAAAGGAGUAAAAAUAGUUAUUCUUAAUUGAUGCAUUAUUUUUUAGCUGAUAAAUUAUUUGUUAGUUGAUACACUUGUUUGAUAUGUUAUUUGUUAGUUGAAUAUUUAUUCUUUAGAAUCAAAUUAUGUAUCAUGUAACAAAAAAUAUACUAGUUAACAAUUUAUAUACUGACUAACAUACCUUGUAGUAGUUGAUACAUGAUUUAGCUUCUAAAAAAUAGAUUACGCAAUAGUGAUUUUUUAAUAGCUGUUGUUCCAAGAAGCAUGACAGAAUUUGAGAUUAUGAUUUCACUGUAAUAUUUGCAUUCAUCCUCAACGAAAUGAUGUGUAGGUUGUACAGACGAGACGAGGAGGACGUUGUCGGAGAAUAAAAAUGUUGGUUAUAUGGAGUAUACGAGCAGUGGAUUUGAGAAGAUGAUGUUAUUAAUUAAAAUUAUAUAUAUAUUGAUAAUCAUAUGAAAGCUAUAUGAAAAUAAAAAAAAGAUUGUAAGAAAAAGAGAUGAUGUAUGAGAUGAAAAGAAGAAAGAGAUUCGGUGGUGUGAGAUGAAGAAAGAGAAAUGGUGUAGAUGAGAUAUGGGCUGUAAUAACCCUCAAGAGCAGAUAAAAUUUUGGUCGAGAAAAAUCCCGCUCGACCAGUUUGGAGUUGGUUCGACCAGAAUUAAAAAUAAAAAUCGAUCCGGUGAAGUAUUCUUGAUGGGACUGUCUCGAGGCCAAAAUACGUACUCUUAAUAGUUCUGACCAAGUGUUAAUUAUUAUGGUCGAGUUUUAUCUAAGCUGGACGAGAACCGAUGGAUAGGAAACAUUUUUUGAAAACUGGUCUUGAAUACUUUCAGCUGCUUGCGAGUCAUGUGCAUGUCAUGUGCUGCCUGGCUGCUUGCUUCCUUCCUGACCUGAACAUGGGGCUUGCACCUUCAUGCUUCCUUGCUACAUUAAAUUCAUGUGAGUUGUACACCUGCUUGAAGUUUCUUCAUGGAAAGGAAAUGACAUUACUUAAUAGGAAGGAAAGUGUGAUUCAGCUCACCACAUGUCUCAUACUGAUCUGAAACUUUUGUCCUUUCUUGCUGACUCUUCCUUCUCCUGCUGUUUCCCCUGUCAUUUAUUACCUUGUCCUCUUCCUGGUCAAGCUCAUUCAUCUCAGAAACAAGAAAGAAAAAUUCAGAGAGAAAUAGAGAAAGAAAGAGAGAAAAAUCUGUGAGGAAAAUACAAAUCAGAAAAAAAAAUCAGAGAAGAGAAGUGAGCUUGCACGAUCCUUUCUCACCCUCUUAUGACUUUUAUCAUUGUGUUCUGGUGUGGUUUAGAGCUGAAGGUUUGGCGUUCAAGAGUUUAGAAUCACCCAAGUUCUUCAGCCAUUGAUUUUAUCGGUUAGACGUGGGUUCAGCUUGAAGCUUAUAGCAACAAUGUUCAUUUAAACCUUGAGAAAACCGUUGGUCGAAGAAAUUGAAAUUACCAGCCGGGUCAUGCCUUGUCCUCAUUCUGUUUUGGGAGUUAUCAGCAAGUGAUGAACGUUUAGCUUGAGCUCGAGUCUAGUUUUCCAUAGGCAAUCUCAUGGAUUCAAAGGUAACCAAUAGGCGGGAGACCUUACUCUAGGACGGGAAGGAACAUCAUUAGCCAGCGGUAGUUUUAUUAUCCUUGCAAAGGCGUUUUGAUAUUUCUUAUUUAUAAGAUUUAUUGACCGAAAACCUCGAGGUUAAUUUAUAACAAAUUUUGUAAGAUGCUUUUGUAUGAUAUAUAAAGAAUGUUUUUAAAGUAGGGGUUUCAUAUGAUAUUAGUCCUUGUCCGGACGAACUAACUAUCGGGUAUUGUUUUUUCGGAUUAAAAAGCCUAGAGUGAUAUCUGAUAGGAGCGUUGGUGUUCUUUGGUUGUUGGUCUAAGGCGAUCAGAAGUAUUCUGAGAACCUCGGAUCGACCAUCGAGGAACAUGAACCGUGUCAUUUCUGGUUAACUACGAUCGGGGGUGUCACAUGGGCAAUUUGGGAAGUGCAAGACAUAAAAGUUACUGUAAACUACCCUUGUGUUACGUCAUGUGUACAUGGCUAAUAUCCUUCCGUUUUGUGUAUAUCUGACAAAAUCACUCUUUUAUAAAUGCUAUUGCAUCCGAUAUGAUAGCACUAAUUAAUUAAUUAAUUAAUUAUUUAUAUUUAUAAAAUUUAUAUUUUUAUAAUAAUUUAAUUUUAAAUUAAAAUUGUUUCAUUAAUAACUAGUGGUUUAAUUUGAUUUAAAAAAUAAAAUAAUUACCAAAUAGAAAUAGGCUUUAUAAAGUUAAUCGGCUUACAAUUAUUACAAAGCUAAACAAAAUCUAAAUAACAAUAAAAUUUAAUAAAACCGAUUUACAAAGCCUAAAGCUUAACUUAAAAAAAAAACAAAUUAACCCUACAUCUCAGACAUCCCGUCGUUAACUUCAACAUCCAAGUCGUUCCAUCCCCGUCGCCGUUCCUUUGUUCCAUCUCCUCCGCCGUUCCUCUUUUUCCUCUCCAGCCCCGCUCCACUACCAUCUCCGGCACCGUUCAUCUGUCCUUCUCCAGCCCCUCUCAAAUACCAUCUCCGCCGCCGUUCCUCUGCUUUCUCCAUCACCUUUUACAAGGAACAUCACCUUCCCUACCCCACAUCUCCUAGUAUAAUCGAGGAAGGACCUCAUUUAAAAUCAAUUUUUUUUUGAAUUAUUUUUAGCUCGAAAAUCAAGGAGAUUACAUAUUGGGGGAUUUUCUCAGAUAGACAUUUUUAAGUUUUUGUCACCAAAAUAGACUCCAAAAACUAAAAUAACCAAAAUAGCAUUUC